CUAUUAGAAUCUAACUACAUAGAUGUAAAGAGACACCAUACAAUGGAAAUGAAGAUUGCGUUUCUAUGAAACAUCACAUGUAGAUAUAUUUAAUGUUUGCUUGGGAAAAUCCUGCCCUCGAGCUUUCUUUUCUUUUUUUUUUUUUAAUGUCUUUAUUCUUUGUUCAUCCCUUCGCCCUCUUUAUUUUCUUUUUGGGACUCCUAAUAGUUUACUUAAUGUUAUACUUCCAUGAUUCGACCUCUAUCUUAUUUUUUCCCUUCUUUUAUUUCCAUCAGCCUCUUUUAUUUCUGCAUUUUAAGAUAGUCCCUUACAUGUAUUUAGUGAGUAAAAAAUUGAUUUGUCCAUUUUUAGUGCAUCUGGAUUUUUAUUUCAUAAAAGAUAUUGUUUUAUUUUGAGGUUAUUAAUUUCAGGCUUUGUUUUUUACUUUCAUCCCCUGGACAUAUUUUCUCAUUUUCUUCUGAGUUUUUUUCCCCAUGCCUUUCUUAUUGGGAAAUUUUUUUUUGACUUUGCCUGCAAUGGAGUUUUUUUUUUAAUUUUAUUAUUAUUAUACUUUAAGUUUUAGGGUACAUGUGCACAACAUGCAGGUUUGUUACAUAUGUAUACAUGUGCCAUGUUGGUGUGCUGCACCCAUUAACUCGUCAUUUAGCAUUACGUAUAUCUCCUAAUGCUAUCCCUCGCCCCUCCCCCCACCCCACAACAGGCCCCGGUGUGUGAUGUUCCUCUUCCUGUGUCCAAGUGUUCUCAUUGUUCAGUUCCCACCUAUGAGUGAGAACAUGCGGUGUUUGGUUUUUUGUCCUUGAGAUAGUUUGCUGAGAAUGAUGGUUUCUAGUUUCAUCCAUGUCCCUACAAAGGACAUGAACUCAUCAUUUUUUAUGGCUGCAUAGUAUUCCAUGGUGUAUAUGUGCCACAUUUUCUUAAUCCAGUCUAUCGUUGUUGGACAUUUAGGUUGGUUCCAAGUCUUUGCUAUUGUGAGUAGUGCCGCUAUAAACAUACGUGUGCAUGUGUCUUUAUAGCAGCAUGAUUUAUAAUCCUUUAGGUAUAUAUCCAGUAAUGGGAUGGCUGGGUCAAAUGGUAUUUCUAGUUGUAGAUCCCUGAGGAAUCGCCACACUGACUUUCACAAUGGUUCCUUUUCAAUUUUAAUUCUAUCUCCCCUCAGAAAACUUACUUUCAAUCCCUAUUCAGUAAUUUUCUGCUCCACAGGGCAGGUUCUAUAUUACUUAUGCUAGUUCCUCUACCUGAAAUGUCCAACCCUCAACAGUAUUUAUCCAAAUUCUCUCUUGUUUGGACCAAAUUCCAUCUUCUGCAAGUUUUCUUUUCUUCUUUAAACAGAAGUAUGUGUUAACUGGUAUAAGAAAUCCACAGUACUUUUAUUUGUAUACUUCAAAUGUCUCUCCUGCCUAUAGACGUGUCCACAGUUAGAAAACAAUAACUCACCUUCAUUGGAAACACAUUUCCCAGCAGGCUUAGAAUUGGUGCGUUUAGUGGAUUAUCUUCUCUAGACCUCAUAUAUAUCCUAUGUGGAAGAUAGCUGCUAUCAGUUCCACUUCAUAAAUGACGAAACUGAGGGUCAAAGAGGUCGCUUUACUUUCCUAAACUCACACAACCAAACCGUGGGGAACUUAGAAUUUAAGCAUGGACAUCAUCAUGCUGACGAUUAGUCUUGUGUUCAAUCCUAGGAAGUGGGAAGUAUUUGGCAGUGGUUGACUGGUGGGAAAAUGGGAAUACAAGUGGUAUAUGUAUCAUAUGUACACAAACGAAAAGAUACUGUAAGCUGUACCAUAUUACAACAGCAUCGCUAAAACCCCAGUCACAGUUAAUGCAUACAUGUGCACGAAUUUAUGCAUACAUGACAUAUGAGCACUCUAUGUAACUCUGCACAUUUGGACUUUAGUUUCUAAAGUGUAUUGCGUAGCCAUUAUAGGGUGGUACUGGACAACAGAAACAAAAUAAGAGCCACAUGUGUAAUUUUAAAUUUUCUAGAUGCCAUAGUCAAAAGUAAAACAAAAUAAGUAAAAUUAAUUUUAGUAAUAUGUUUUACCUAAUGCAUCCAGAUACUAUCACUUCAACAUGUAAUCAAUAUGAAAAUAUUAAUUAGAAAUGCACAUUUUUUUUUCAUGGCAAGUGUUGAAAAUCUGGUGUGUCCUUUACACUUACGGUUUCUUUUCAUUCAGACUAGCCACAUUUCAAGUGCUCAAUAGCAACAUGUGGCUCUUGGCUAUCAUAUUAGACCACACUGUAAUGGAAUAUGAGAGGUGGGAGGUGGGAAGGCUUAUAGGCAUGAUCUACUUUAUUUUUUUGUUUGUUUGUUUGUUUAUUUGACAGAGUCUCACUCUCUCGCCCAGGCUGGAGUGCUGAGGCGAGAUUUCGGCUCACUGCAACCUCUGCAAUUCUCUUGCCUCAGCCUCCCGAGUAGUUGGGACUACAGGUGCAAAUUACCACAUCCAGCUAAUUUUUGUAUUUUUAGUAGAGAUGGAAUUUCACCAUGUUGGCCAGGCUGGUCUCAAACUCCUGACCUCAGGUGAUCCACCCACCUCGGCCUCCCAAGGUGCUGGGAUUACAAACGUGAGCCACCGCACCAGGCCAGAAUUAUCUACUUUGAUGCCAUUAUUUUACAGAGUAGACACUAAGGCUUAGAAAAGCUGAGCAACUUGUUAAAUUCUACUCAGUUCUAAUGCGAGAUAUAUGCAGUUCCCUGUUCUGGCCUGUUCCUGCCUAUUGUUCCAUGUUUUAAUAGAGGGAUCAGGAGAUGGGGGAGAUAGAAGUUAAAUCACAUUCUUUAAUACUUUUUGACACAGAAGCAACAUAAUGGUACCAUGUGAUAUCCACUCUCAUUUUGCAAAACAGGAAAUUGAGAAAGAGAAAUGGAGUUAGGCAUUUAGAGAGAGUUUUACGCUCUUAAGCCAUUGGAUGGGAAACCUGAUUUCUGGUAGGAGAGCUAUGCUGUAAAAGGUGUCUGAACACAAGACUAAGCUGGAAUCUUACCCUGAGAUAUGGCAAUCCAUUUUUCAGUUCAAGAUGAAUCCUCCCACUUCAAAUACUCAGACGAAACCUCUCAAGUCAAUAUUGCCCUGCAGACAUCUUGUGCCUAUGCAUAAGAGCUAAGUGAUUUCUUUCUCUGGAGCUAGGUUUCUGCUCAAAUCCAGGUUUUUUUUCCAAGUGAAACAACCACAGGGAGCCUUUCCUGCCUGGUCCAACUGGUGAAACAGAGCCAAAAAUGUUUGUGAUUCUAUUUAUAGCUGUCUAGUGGUUGAACAGACUGGGCUGAGAAUUCCUGGGGUGAAGUAUUUGGUGCCUGAAGUCUGGAAUGCCAGUUUUACACAGCUUGUUUUUAGAUGCAAGGAUUUCCAUAAAAACAAGGCCAGGCACAUAGAACUUUUUCAGGAGCAAAGGGCAAGAAAAUGUUUUUAAAAAGGGGAAUAAUCCUAGCAAAAUAGUUUUAUAGAUUUUUUUUUGGAAAGCCAUGCCAUUUUCUCCCCUCCUUAUUACUAGUUGGUAAUGUGCAAAACAAUGCUAUCUCAAAAAUAAGAAAAUAGUGAAAGAGAACAUAUGCCCCUGUUGUGGGUUAAAUAGGGACUCCCAGAGGAUAUGUCCUUUCAGGACCUCAGAUGUAAUUAAAGUAGGGAUCUUGAGGUGAGAUCAUCCUGGAGGAGGGUGGGCCCUAAAUCCAAAGAUUAACGUGUUUAUGAAAGACUGAGACAAAGAGAAGAAGGCCCUGUAAAGCUGAGCACAGAUUGGAGUUUUGUAGCUGUGAGCCAAGGAAAGCCAGGAGAAGCAAGGAAGGAUGAGUCUCUAGAGCCUGCAGAGGGAGCACAGCCCUGCCAACACCUGGAUUUCUGAAGUCUGCCCUACAAACUGUGAUGAGAGAUCUUUUUAAAGGCAAAGACAGCAAUUUCCUGGGGAUCUAUGAGUACACUGUUCAACUACAGUACAGAUAAGAACUGAUCCCAAGCAGUCGAGAAGCUUUCAUCUGCCUUUUGUUUCCACGGUGGCAAUGAAGAACAAAGAAAGCCGGGAACUAUGCCUAACUAUGAGUAACCACAGAUG